CCUUCCCCCAUUAUCCUCUAUGCAUAACUUAAGGUAUAAAAACUACUUUGGAAAAUAAAGUGCGGGCCUUGUUCACCGAAACUUGGUCUCCCCAUGUCGCUCUCUCUCUCAAAUUCUGGCUGAGUCUCCAUCUGGAGCGCGGAACCCGCCAUGCUUGCUAAUUAUGCCUGGGCUUCUAAGAUCCGACCGGGGAGGCCUCAGUGUCUCCUCUCCUUCGGGAGAACGGAAGGACGCCUGUGGCCUACUCGCUUCAGUUGUGCCUGACUCUGUGCAACCCCAUAGAUGGCAGCCCACCAGACUCCCCCGUCCCUGGGAUUCUCCAGGCAAGAACACUGGAGAGGGUUGCCAUUUCCUUCUCCAAUGCACGAAAGUGAAAGUGAAGUCACUCAGCUGUGUCCGACUCUCAGCGACCCCAUGGACUGCAGCCUACCAGGCUCCUCCGUCCACGGGAUUUUCCAGGCAAGAGCACUGGAGUGGGUUGCCAUUGCCUUCUCCAAUAUUUCCUCUACUUGUUGCUAACUCCACUCCAGCCACAGGACCAGUUUGCUGUUCCUUAAAUAAAUUCUUCAAACAAACAUGCUCCUACGCCAGGGCUGUUGUACUUGCUGUUCCCUCUGUCUGGAAUGGCUCUUCCCCUUGAUAUCUAUAUACAAGGAGGCAACAUCAACCAUCCCCAAGAAAUAGAAAGGUAAAAUGGUGUCUGAGGAGGCCUUAAAAAUUAGCUGUGAAAAGAAGAGAAGCUAAAGGCCAAGGAGAAAAGGAAACAUGUACCCAUCUGAAUGCAGAGUUCCAAAGAAUAGCAAGGAGAGAUAAGAAAGCCUUCCUCAGCAAUCAGUGCAAAGAAAUAGAGGAAAACAAUAGAAUGGGAAAGACUAGAGAUCUCUUCAAGAAAAUUAGAGACACCAAGGGAACAUUUCAUGCAAAGAUUGGCACAAUAAAGACCAGAAACAGUAUGGGCCUAACAGAAGCAGAAGAUAGUAAGAAGAGGUGGCAAGAAUACACAGAAGAACUAUACAAAAAAGACUUUCAUGACCCCGAUAACCACGAUGGUGUGAUCACUCACCUAGAGCCAGACAUCCUGGAAUUCGAAGUCAAGUGGGCCUUAGAAAGCAUCACUAUGAACAAAGCUAGUGGAGGUGAAAAAAUUCCAGUUGAGCUAUUUCAGAUCCUAAAAUAUGAUGCUGUGAAAGUGCUGCACUCAAUAUGCCAGCAAAUUUGGAAAACUCAGCACUGGCCACAGGACUGGAAAAGGCCAGUUUUCACUGCAAUCCCAAAGAAGGGCAAUGCCAAAGACUGAUCAAACUACCGCACAAUUGCACUCAUCUCACACGCUAGUAAAGUAAUUCUCAAAAUCAUCCAAGCUAGGCUUCAACAGUAUGUGAACCAUGAAAUUCCAGAUGUUCAAGUUGGAUUUAGAAAAGGAGGAAGAAGCAGAGAUCAAAUUGCCAACAUUUGUUGGAUCAUAGAAAAAGCAAGAGAGUUCCAGAAAAACAUCUACU
ensembl:lncRNA